rnacentral:tRNA from 1 species
GUCUGGGUGGCUCAGUCGGUUAAGCAUCUGACUUCAGCUCAGGUCAUGAUUUCCCCAUUUGUGGGUUCAAGCCCCACAUUAGGCU